AGCAGCCGCGGUAAUUCCAGCUCCAAUAGCGUAUAUUAAAGUUGUUGCAGUUAAAAAGCUCGUAGUUGAAUUUCGGGACCAUCAUGUCGGUCGUGCCUCGGUACGUACUGGCAUUGUUGGUUUCUCCCUUCUGACGAACCAUGAUGUCAUUUAUUUGGUGUUGUGGGGAAUCAGGACUGUUACUUUGAAAAAAUUAGAGUGUUUAAAGCAGGCUCACGCUUGAAUACAUUAGCAUGGAAUAAUGAAAUAGGACGUUUGAUUCUAUUUUGUUGGUUUCUAGGAUCGACGUAAUGAUUAAUAGGGAUAGUUGGGGGCAUUAGUAUUCAAUUGUCAGAGGUGAAAUUCUUGGAUUUAUUGAAGACUAACUACUGCGAAAGCAUUUGCCAAGGAUGUUUUCAUUAAUCAAGAACGAAAGUUAGGGGAUCGAAGACGAUCAGAUACCGUCGUAGU
rnacentral:rRNA from 1 species